rnacentral:lncRNA from 1 species
GCCCUGUGUGGAUUAUCGUUGGAGGACGAAUGCUUGGGUGCCUAGUGGAGAUUCUGUCAGAAUUUGGAAUAAGUAUUGUAGGUAUUCUUCUAUAGCUUAAAUUUUAUUAUGAAUAUAUUAUAUAUAAUUAUCAAUCAUCAAGAAUGUUUUGGUUUAAAAAUUUAAUAUUUAAAAUUUUAUAAUUUAAAAUUUUUGAAAUCCAUUAUGCUUUCGCUGUGCAUGUCCACCCAAACCCUAUAGUGGUAUCAGAGCCAAUCUUGUUUGGUUCAAU